rnacentral:rRNA from 1 species
AUAUCAAUAAGCGGAGGAAAAGAAACCAACAGGGAUUGCCCCAGUAACGGCGAGUGAAGCGGCAACAGCUCAAAUUUGAAAUCUGGCCCCAGGCCCGAGUUGUAAUUUGCAGAGGAUGCUUUUGGCGCGGUGCCUUCCGAGUUCCCUGGAACGGGACGCCAUAGAGGGUGAGAGCCCCGUACGGUUGGACACCAAGCCUUUGUAAAGCUCCUUCGACGAGUCGAGUAGUUUGGGAAUGCUGCUCAAAAUGGGAGGUAUAUUUCUUCUAAAGCUAAAUAUAGGCCAGAGACCGAUAGCGCACAAGUAGAGUGAUCGAAAGAUGAAAAGCACUUUGAAAAGAGGGUUAAACAGCACGUGAAAUUGUUAAAAGGGAAGCGCUUGUGACCAGACUUGCGUCCGGUGAAUCACCCAGCUCUCGCGGCUGGGGCACUUCGCCGGCACAGGCCAGCAUCAGCUUGCCGUCGGGGACAAAAGCUUCAGGAACGUAGCUCUCUUCGGGGAGUGUUAUAGCCUGUUGCAUAAUACCCUUCGGCGGGCUGAGGUACGCGCUCCGCAAGGAUGCUGGCGUAAUGGUCAUCAGCGACCCGUCUUGAAACACGGACCAAGGAGUCAACCUUAUGUGCGAGUGUUUGGGUGUUAAACCCCUACGCGUAAUGAAAGUGAACGCAGGUGAGAGCUUCGGCGCAUCAUCGACCGAUCCUGAUGUUCUCGGAUGGAUUUGAGUAAGAGCAUAUAGGGUUGGACCCGAAAGAAGGUGAACUAUGCGUGUGUAGGGUGAAGCCAGAGGAAACUCUGGUGGAGGCUCGCAGCGGUUCUGACGUGCAAAUCGAUCGUCAAACAUGCGCAUGGGGGCGAAAGACUAAUCGAACCUUCUAGUAGCUGGUUUCCGC